GGAUAUUCUAUGUACCAGGCAUUAUCCUGAGCAUUUUGCAUAUAUUAUCUCAACUAAUUUUACAUAACACUAUGAAGUAUGUAUAACUAUUAGACUCAGGUUGCUGAUAAGGAAACUAAGGUCUUUGUAACCAGUUCAGCUGGAUCAAAACCCAGUGUUUUCUGCUUUCCAAUCAGGAGGUUUUUCCUUGGGCUAUAGAGCUCGACUUUGCAGGCAAGGCACAGGCAGGGAUGUGUGCUCCAAGGGCCACUCUAGUUCUCAGACAAGCCGCAGUCACAGUCGAGACACAGUUGGCAAGAUUAUGUAUAAUAGUGGACCAGAGGUGAUGGAAGGAGCUAAACAUUUUCACUCAAUCCCACUUCUCGCUUUCCUGAGUGGUUUGUGGGUGUGAGUGCUGAAAACGAAUUUCUUCUGCAGGAGGAGGAAGUGGCGGGGCUUGGAGCCAGAAUGACUCAUCAGAACUCCCUAUGGAAGUCAGGACAACAGCGGGAGACUGAGCUUUCAACAUUGGACAUGCAGGUGGCUUCAACUGGACAUGAUGAAUGCAGUAUCUGCACUGGGGCUGGGUAUGAGUGGAUGGAGCACAGGACCGCCGGUCAUUUACACGGCUUGUCCAUUGGCAAGUGCUGCUGAGCCGAGGCAAAUCAUCCUGGACUGAGGGUGAGUAAUGACAAUUAGCCUACCUAGGUUAAAGAAGAAGCCCUGUAGCAUAAGGGAGAGGUGAGUGUAUCUGGCAGACUCAGAGGAAGAGCAGAACUUUGAAAAAUAAUCCACAGUAGCAUCCAGGGGAAAAAUGCUAUUCUCAAAGGACUGCAUGAAGAAAAAAUGUAUUUAAAAGGACAAGACCGCGUAGUGUCUGUUCCUACUGAGUUACACUUGAAGAAAGAGAAAAUGCAGAUGGCCUUGGCUGCAUUCUGUUCACUUGAGUGCCUUUUACAUCCUUUUUAGUGUCAGCUGGGGGGCAAGUUGAGGUGUUUGGUUCUAGUUUCUUGGGCUCCAAGAUUUUCUCUGUUUCUAGGUAUCAAUAUGAUUUUUAAUCUCUUUUAUUAAUUAUAAUGAUAAAGCAAAUAUGGUUCAGUCUCAGCAGCGUGUUUUAUCUGCCUUAGAUUUUGGAAAUGGAUUAUAGUUUUAUAUUUUCUGCUUACUGUGAUAUUUUGUUGAAAAAUGCAGAGGGUCCACACUGGGGUUGCCUUUCCAAACUGAAGGUCUCAUCUUAAGUUCUUUUAAAUAAUAUUUAAUACAGGGGAGGACUCAAGAUGGCGCUGUGAGAACAACCCAGGAUUGGAGCUCUCGUUGAAUCCGCAAACAGGUGAGUCGGGGCUGCAUUUCCAGACUGAUCUUUGUUGCCCACAGAACGGGGAAACUCCCAAGUAUAAAAAAGACACGGGACGCCAGGCAGUAGGUCUGCCUGGCGAAGCUGGCAGCCGGGGCGGCGGCGGCCGGCCCUACCCAGCAAUCCCCACAGGGCACGCUUGUCCGGGUGCCCUGUUGAACUGGCAACCUGAGACUUGAGAGGGCUGGACUUGAGACUGAAUGAGACUUGGACAGUAGCCCAGCCCAGGGGAUUGCAGGGACAGAUCGUUUGGGAUACCCAGUGGGGUGAACAAAACCGCGAUUUCAAACUAUCCCGAGCAGACGGUCAGAGACGCUCUGUGGGGGAGGGGCGUUCACCACUACCGAGGCAACCCACCCCAACUGAGAUACACGCCCACUGCUGAUGCAGCCAGCCGUU
ensembl:lncRNA